rnacentral:rRNA from 1 species
CCCGCCUGCCCUGUGACUUAACAGUUUAACGGCCGCGGUAUUUUGACCGUGCGAAGGUAGCGUAAUCACUUGUCUUUUAAAUGAAGACCUGUAUGAAUGGCAUAACGAGGGCUAAGCUGUCUCCUUUUUCCAGUCAAUGAAAUUAAUCUUCCCGUGCAGAAGCGGGAAUUUAAACAUAAGACGAGAAGACCCUAUGGAGCUUUAGACAAAAGGCAGCUCAUGUUAAAAUAACUAGACAAACAGAACAAAUUAAAUGAUUCCUGCUCUCAUGUUUUUGGUUGGGGCGACCGCGGGGGAACAAAAAUCCCCCAUGUGGAAUAGGAAUCUUUCCUCAAGACCAGAGCCACAGCUCUAAUAAACAGAAUUUCUGACCAACAAGACCCGGCAAAGCCGAUCAACGGACCGAGUUACCCUAGGGAUAACAGCGCAAUCCCCUUUUAGAGCCCAUAUCGACAAGGGGGUUUACGACCUCGAUGUUGGAUCAGGACAUCCUAAUGGUGCAGCCGCU